CCCUUUAGAGGCACACCCCGGGAACUGGGGCUAAUCCCAGAUAGAUGAGAACCCCUGGAAUGGGUUUUCGUCCAAAAGGCGCCGCGGUUAUGCUCUGCGGUGUCGCUCAAGGAUGGGGCCGCGUCCGAUCAGGCUGUUGGUGAGGCAAUGGCUCACCAAACCUAUAACCGGUACGGGCCGUGGGAGCGGGAGCCCGGAGAUGGGAACUGAGACAAGGUCCCAGGCCCUACGGGGCGCAGCAGUUACGAAAACUUGUCAAUGCACGAAAGUGUGAACGGGCUACCCCGAGUGCCGUCCGCUGAGGAUGGCUUUUCUCUGCUGUAAGAAGGCGGAGGAAUAAGGCGAGGGCAAGUCUGGUGUCAGCCGCCGCGGUAAUACCAGCUCGCCGAGUGGUAGGGAUGAUUAUUGGGCCUAAAGCGUCCGUAGCCGGCCUUUCAAGUCUCUUGUUAAAUCCAACGAUUCAAUCGCUGGACUGCAGGAGAUACUGUCAGGCUGGGGGGCGGGAGAAGCCGACGGUAUUUUCGGGGUAGGGGUAAAAUCCUAUAAUCCCGGGAGGACCACCAGUGGCGAAGGCGGUCGGCUAGAACACGCUCGACGGUGAGGGACGAAAGCUGGGGGAGCGAACCGGAUUAGAUACCCGGGUAGUCUCAGCUGUAAACGAUGCUGGCUAGGUGUCUGAGCGGCUACGAGCCGCUUCGGUGCCGCAGGGAAGCCAUUAAGCCAGCCGCCUGGGGAGUACAGCCGCAAGGCUGAAACUUAAAGGAAUUGGCGGGGGAGCAC
rnacentral:rRNA from 1 species